UCCAAAUUGAAGCUAUGAAGAGCCUGGAGUUACUAGAAAUGUAUCUGUAUAGAAAUCCUGUGCAUUAUAUUUGAAUAUACUAGGGCGGACGAUCUCCGUUUCUUCAUCUUUCACCUAGGAUUUUCUUUCUGCCGGAAGAAAAGGACUAAUAAACUAGAGAGGCAUGGAUAGAUCUACUCUGAGUUCCACAUCUGUCGACCAAGGACUAAAUUCCAUGUUAAGCGCUAGAACGUCUACUACCGUCAUCAGUGUAGCAGCAAUAUUGUUUUGGUAAAAAAGGAACUGAGAUCCAAUUUAACUGCAGUGAUAAUAAAGUUUUAUAUAUUUAUGGUAACUAUUAUAUUGAACUUCUUCCAUUGCUUAUCACAAAACUUC